rnacentral:siRNA from 1 species
UGAAGCCUGAGAUCUCGUUCCUA